GACGAACGCUGGCGGCGUGCUUAACACAUGCAAGUCGAACGGAAAGGCCCUGCUUUUGUGGGGUGCUCGAGUGGCGAACGGGUGAGUAACACGUGAGUAACCUGCCCUUGACUUUGGGAUAACUUCAGGAAACUGGGGCUAAUACCGGAUAGGAGCUCCUGCUGCAUGGUGGGGGUUGGAAAGUUUCGGCGGUUGGGGAUGGACUCGCGGCUUAUCAGCUUGUUGGUGGGGUAGUGGCUUACCAAGGCUUUGACGGGUAGCCGGCCUGAGAGGGUGACCGGGCACAUUGGGACUGAGGUACGGACCAGACUCCUACGGGAGGCAGCAGUGGGGAAUAUUGCACAAUGGGCGGAAGCCUGAUGCAGCAACGCCGCGUGCGGGAUGACGGCCUUCGGGUUGUAAACCGCUUUCGCCUGUGACGAAGCGUGAGUGACGGUACUGGGUAAAGAAGCACCGGCUAACUACGUG
rnacentral:rRNA from 1 species